CCGUGGAUUCAAGUUCCUUCUCAAGUGAUGAAGCUGGGUAAAGUAUCUCCUUUGUAAGCUGCUUGAAGAAGGUUUGCUGGAGCCGUGUGAAAGUGCAUAUGGUCUGGAAGACAGAACUGUUUUUAGCUUGUAGCCUUUGUUUAGGGAGCAACUUUUGAAGUCAAUGCCGAUGCCAGAUUUGGAAGAAUUCUAGGGGCAUGUGUUUGGGGAGCAGUGCAGAUGAGAAUCAGAUUGGAUCUGCAGACGGUGGGACAUUAUAUGUAUUGAGCACACGUUAUAUAAAAGGGCAAUGAGACAGACGAAUCUUGUGACAAAUCACUAUUUUGAUGAGAAAUAUAAAUACAAUACUCAGCCACUGUCAAAGGGUAGUCACAAACAACAGCAACAACAAACUAUACAGUUUCAAAAGAAGGCUGGUACCCUGUUUUCCUUUUGAAAUGCUUAAAGAAAAGCUGCACAAAAAUUUUUGUGGAUUUGCGGAUUUUGGAAUAAGCAAGAGGCAGAAACAGAAGCCCAUGUGCUCUUUCUUUACUGGCUUUAAUUGUUUUGAUUUCAAGCUUAGCAGCAAAAUGUUCCUGCCAAGUGAAUGUACAUGUGCAUGGGAUGCUUUCUGCUUUGCUUCACUCAGGCGUUGGAAGAAAGGCCCUGGUUUGUAUCAGUCAGACAUCAUUUUAGUGUAAGAGAAAACACACCCCUUGGAACAAUUAAGGGAUUGCAACUUAUCAUUAGAGUGAAUAAUAGGCUGCAAUGUCUGUUUAGAAUGGGGUUUUAGAAAUUAAUUACUGGGAUAGGUCACAAAAUGCUUCACUGUUUUCUAAUGAUUAUAAACUGCAGUUUCAUAAUUAGAUGGUGAGAAAUUGGUCAGGGCAAUAUAUUUAUCAUUUAUCACUUUAGAAAAGGGUCAGCAAACUUUUUCUGUCAAGAGCCUGAUAGUAGAUAUUUUAGGAUUUGCGUCUUUGUAGCUUGAAAGCAGCCAUAGACAAUAAUUAAAUGAAUGUGUACCUAUGUUUCAAUAAAAAUUUAUGUAUUAUGUAUUAUAUUUCAUAUAAUUUUAACAUGUCUUAAUACCUUAUUCUUCCUGAUUUUUUUUCAACCAUUUAAAGACGCAAAAACUAUUUUUAGCUGUGGGUUGUACAAAAACAGGCAAUGAGCCAAAUUUGGCCCAAGGGCUGUAGUUUGCUGACUCCUGCUUUAGAAGAAAAGACCCUUUUAUUGUUUACACUAAGAUGUCUGAGCAUUAUUUUAAAAAGCAAUGCAUUUUUUUUCAACUCACAAUUAUUUUAUGAUUCUGGCCCGAUGUUUAUUGUUUUUGAAAUGCAUUCUUUGGUCAGUUUGAGGACUACAGUGUGAGGGCUAGCUUAGGGGCACGAGGUUUGACAAAUUAAACUCUGACUGUGUUCCUCUCAUUAUGUUCCAAUUCUGUUCAUCAGUAAAAGGAACUUGUGUCAUUGCCUCACUUGU